rnacentral:rRNA from 1 species
AUUGAACGCUGGCGGCAGGCCUAACACAUGCAAGUCGAACGAGUGGCGGACGGGUGAGUAAUGUCUGGGCACCUGCCUGAUGGAGGGGGCUAACUACUGGAAACGGUAGCUAAUACCGCAUACCAUCAGAUGGGCCCACAUGGGAGUAGCUAGUUGGUGGGGUAACGGCUCACCAAGGCGACGAUCCCUAGCUGGUCUGAGAGGGUGACCAGCCACACUGGGACUGAGACACGGUCCAGACUCCUACGGGAGGCAGCAGUAGGGAAUAUUGGACAAUGGGCGAAAGCCUGAUACAGCCACGCCGCGUGUAUGAAGAAGGCUUUCGGGUUGUAAAGUACUUUCAGCGGGGAGGCGUUACCCGCAGAAGAAGCACCGGCUAACUCCGUGCCAGCCGCCGCGGUAAUUC